ACGGUACAAUGACAUCCACAAAUUACGAUUAAGAACUACAAACUGGUUAACAGGAUAGCGGGCUUAUAAAAGGAUGUGAUAUGGAGAGGUCUUCAAUCCGUCGUAUAUUGUCACAAUCCAUGCCUAUUCUGUGUGUAGUUCUAAUUGUUAUUUUUAUAAAACUCCUGUUCUACGGAGCUGUUGAGUAUUUUACGAAAAGCUUCGAGACAGUUAUUGGAAAGGUGUUAGCAUAUUUAUAUUCGCGUUGGAAAGCAAGUAUAGAGCAACAAGGAAACAGGACUUAAAGUAAAAGCUGACGUUAUCAGGAAAAGGACGACAUAUUUGCCUUUGACUACAAUAGAAUGGCGGCGUAUAUCUCGUGGCGUAAUCUUAAGACACCCGAUUUAUCCUACAAGUAUGCAGAAAACAAUCACCGAAGACCAUCGACGAGUUUCGGGAGUUCAAUAAAAAAAUCACUUUGUCAGUGACAGUGUAAGUACGUUUUACUUGACCUUUGAGGUCAACAACUAACGAACACAAUCAAACAAUUUAGGAAAAACGACGACACGUUGUCAAAGACAAUGUUAGUACGUGCUACUUGACCGUUGGGGACAACAAUAAACGAACAAUAUCAACCAAGUUUGGACAAAAUGAAGCCACGUUGUCAGAUACAAUCCAGAAGAAGUCAAUCGACUGGUAUGUUUGCGUUUAUACGAAGACGUAACGCCUUUGCGAAACGACAUGCAUAGAUAACAUGGGAGGAAUUUAACUUGAACUGUUCUUCGUUUUGUUAGUACUUCAUCGCAUGACAAUUUGGAUUACGUCUCAAACUAAAUAAAACAAAACACUGUGUAAGCAGAGUUGCUAUCGACUGAUAGUGGGCCUUUGGCAAGGUGAAUCCGAACAUCUUUUCGUUCAAAACAUUUAUUGGGAGUGAGCAGGUAUCGUCGAUGGCGUUUUUAUAAAUUUGUUCAAUGAAGGAAAUAAAAACGUUUGUUUACAAAAGCUCUGCCCUUUCCACCGUAACCAACCAUGUCCACCAUCAAAAAGACGUCUGACGACGUCAACAUCUUUCGAUGAGCGACAUUGGAUUCAGCAGAUCCGACCUUGCUGAACUUGGUGUUAUACUCGAAAAAACGUUCAGUACAUCAUUUGAAUCCAGCUUGACCUUGUUAGUGUCCAACGUUGUAUAUCAAGUAUUGUUGUGGGUUUAACCCAAGAUUGGUAUCUUAAAAUCUCCUUCCUCCAAUCGUCACUUCACAGCCGUGGCUUGCAGUUUAUAAAUAAGCAUAAAUCAUGUUUCCCAUCUUAAGCCUAAACCGCUUUUUAAUAUUUGUCUGAAAAAAAAAUCAUAUCCUUCACGGCCGUUUAUUCUUUCCUGUAGUUCAUUUAAACACGACAUAAUGCUCUAGCCGACGCACCGUUAUGUUCGUAUGGCCAAUCUAAAAUCGAAGCCGAUAUCGAAUCCGCUGAACUUCAGAAAUGUCAGCAAUUGCGUCAAAUCUUAUUCUCUAAACUUAAAUGCCCCCUGACCUUUAAAAACCUACUAUCACUCAUCUAAUGAAACAAUGUUAUCCUAAAAGUACAUCAGUUUAUCGCGGCGACACAUCUUUUCUGCCAGUGACAUGUGCGACUUAAACGGGUGUAGGUCACGAGUCCCCUUUCUUGUCAUACCUCCUAAUUGUCAACAACAUAAAUUGACACCUUUCCGUCAUUAUAACUUUGUUGAUUUUUGAAUUUUUGAAUUUGCUAUAACAUGUUUGCCUAAUUUACAAAUCAUUUUUUGAACACUACUCCUUUUUUACUCAUUACAUUUUAUUGUUUUGCACCUGUUUAUAUAUAUAUAUAUGUAUAUAUACAUGUAUGUGUGUGUGUGAAAUAAAUAUAAUAUAUAUAUAAAGUUCACAGCUACAUGUAAAAAAAUAAAUAAUAAUGAUGCCGUAGUAAUCAAGUCAAUUAUAUUUUAAAGAGGGUAAUAUAAAAACCAUAUAAUUAUACGGAAUAUUACUCGUAUUUCUCGUAUAUUGCAUCUUUAUGAAAUAAUCAUUUUAUUUAUUAUUAGGUGUUUUAUUAGAAUAUAAGUAUAUUAGAAUAUAAGUACUUAUGUUUUGUCUGUGUUAAUUAUGUUUUCGUCUGUGUAAUUUGUAUUUUGUCUGUGACACUUAUGUUUUGUCUGUGACACUUUUUUUGUGGUAGAUAUACUUUGUCUGUGACACUUAUUUUUUUAUCUGUGUUUCUAAUAUGUUAAGCUCUAUGCAAUGCACAUGCAUUUUUAAUAGUUCGUUUGUUUUAUAUUCAUUGUGUGAAAUAAAACACUCAAAUACA